rnacentral:rRNA from 1 species
GACGAACGCUGGCGGCGUGCUUAACACAUGCGAGUCGAACGGAAAGGCCCUGCUUUUGUGGGGUGCUCGAGUGGCGAACGGGUGAGUAACACGUGAGUAACCUGCCCUUGACUUUGGGAUAACUUCAGGAAACUGUGGCUAAUACCGGAUAGGAGCUCCUGCUGCAUGGUGGGGGUUGGAAAGUUUCGGCGGUUGGGGAUGGACUCGCGGCUUAUCAGCUUGUUGGUGGGGUAGUGGCUUACCAAGGCUUUGACGGGUAGCCGGCCUGAGAGGGUGACCGGCCACAUUGGGACUGAGAUACGGCCCAGACUCCUACGGGAGGCAGCAGUGGGGAAUAUUGCACAAUGGGCGGAAGCCUGAUGCAGCAACGCCGCGUGCGGGAUGACGGCCUUCGGGUUGUAAACCGCUUUCGCCUGUGACGAAGCGUGAGUGACGGUAAUGGGUAAAGAAGCACCGGCUAACUACGUG